CCCUUAGAUGUUCUGGGCUGCACGCGUGUUACAAUCGGGAGUACAACAAGAUUGCAGAUCCUAGUGGAUGAGUGGUUCUUCGAAAUUUUCUGAAGACUGGGAUAGUUGAUUGAAAUUAUUCAACUCAAACGAGGAAUUCCUUGUAAUUGUAAUUCAUUAUAUUGUAAUGAAUACGUCCCUGCCCUUUGUACACACCGCCCGUCGCUCCUACCGAUUGAACGAUCCGGUGAAUUAUUUGGAGUAGCUCUGGAAGUUGCAGAACUUCCUAUGUCACGAAAUUUUGUAAACCUUAUCGUUUAGAGGAAGGAAAAGUCGUAACA
rnacentral:rRNA from 1 species